rnacentral:rRNA from 1 species
UGGGGAAUCUUGCGCAAUGGCCUGAGGGCUGACGCAGCGACGCCGCGUGGGGGAGGAAGGGCUUCGGCCUGUAAACCCCUGUUGCCCGGGACGAAGGGGAGAUUUGUUCUUCCUUGACGGUACUGGGUGAGGAAGCACCGGCUAACUCCGUGCCAGCAGCCGCGGUAAUACGGAGGGUGCGAGCGUUGUCCGGAAUCACUGGGCGUAAAGGGCGCGUAGGCGGCUUGUCACGCGUGCGGUGAAAGUCCGGGGCUCAACCCUGGAUCGGCCGUGCGGACGGGCAGGCUGGAGCACAGUAGAGGCGGGUGGAAUUCCGGGUGUAGCGGUGGAAUGCGUAGAGAUCCGGAAGAACACCAGUGGCGAAGGCGGCCCGCUGGGCUGUGGCUGACGCUGAGGCGCGACAGCGUGGGGAGCAAACAG